GGAGGCAUAGCUCAGUGGUAGAGUGCUUGCUUAGCAUGCAUGAGGUUCUGGGUUCAAUCCCUAGCACCUCCA
rnacentral:tRNA from 1 species